rnacentral:rRNA from 1 species
UGCCAGCCGCCGCGGUAAUACGGAGGGUCCGAGCGUUAUCCGGAAUCAUUGGGUUUAAAGGGUCCGCAGGCGGUCAAUUAAGUCAGAGGUGAAAUCCCAUAGCUUAACUAUGGAACUGCCUUUGAUACUGGUUGACUUGAGUCAUAUGGAAGUAGAUAGAAUGUGUAGUGUAGCGGUGAAAUGCAUAGAUAUUACACAGAAUACCGAUUGCGAAGGCAGUCUACUACGUAUGUACUGACGCUGAGGGACGAAAGCGUGGGGAGCGAACAGGAUUAGAUA